rnacentral:tRNA from 1 species
UUAAAAGAAAUCAAAAUUAGCGAUUUAUCACUGUUAAUGAUACUUAGGUAUUUAAGCCCUUUUAAA